rnacentral:rRNA from 1 species
GCAUAUCAAUAAGCGGAGGAAAAGAAACCAACAGGGAUUGCCCUAGUAACGGCGAGUGAAGCGGCAACAGCUCAAAUUUGAAAUCUGGCUUCGGCCCGAGUUGUAAUUUGCAGAGGAAGCUUUAGGCGCGGCACCUUCUGAGUCCCCUGGAACGGGGCGCCAUAGAGGGUGAGAGCCCCGUAUAGUUGGAUGCCUAGCCUGUGUAAAGCUCCUUCGACGAGUCGAGUAGUUUGGGAAUGCUGCUCAAAAUGGGAGGUAAAUUUCUUCUAAAGCUAAAUACCGGCCAGAGACCGAUAGCGCACAAGUAGAGUGAUCGAAAGAUGAAAAGCACUUUGAAAAGAGGGUUAAAUAGCACGUGAAAUUGUUGAAAGGGAAGCGCUUGUGACCAGACUUGCGCCGGGCUGAUCAUCCGGUGUUCUCACCGGUGCACUCUGCCCGGCUCAGGCCAGCAUCGGUUCUCGCGGGGGGAUAAAGGCCCAGGGAAUGUAGCUCCUCCGGGAGUGUUAUAGCCCGGGGCGGAAUGCCCUCGCGGGGACCGAGGUUCGCGCUCUGCAAGGAUGCUGGCGUAAUGGUCAUCAGCGACCCGUCUUGAAACACGGACCAAGGAGUCAAGGUUUUGCGCGAGUGUUUGGGUGUAAAACCCGCACGCGUAAUGAAAGUGAACGUAGGUGAGAGCUUCGGCGCAUCAUCGACCGAUCCUGAUGUUUUCGGAUGGAUUUGAGUAAGAGCGUUAAGCCUUGGACCCGAAAGAUGGUGAACUAUGCUUGGAUAGGGUGAAGCCAGAGGAAACUCUGGUGGAGGCUCGCAGCGGUUCUGACGUGCAAAUCGAUCGUCAAAUCUGAGCAUGGGGGCGAAAGACUAAUCGAACCAUCUAGUAGCUGGUUACCGCCGAAGU